rnacentral:tRNA from 1 species
GGAGCUGUAGCUUAGUUGGUCACAGUGCCUGUCUAGUAAACAGGAGAUCCUGGGUUCAAAUCCCAUCAGUGCCG